rnacentral:rRNA from 1 species
UACGAAGGGGACUAGCGUUGUUCGGAAUCACUGGGCGUAAAGCGCACGUAGGCGGAUAUGUCAGUCAGGGGGUGAAAUCCCGGGGGCUCAACCUCGGAACUGCCUUUGAUACAGCAUAUCUUGAGUCCGAUAGAGGUGGGUGGAAUUCCUAGUGUAGAGGUGAAAUUCGUAGAUAUUAGGAAGAACACCGGUGGCGAAGGCGGCCCCACUGGAUCGGUACUAGCGCGAGGUGCGAAAGCGUGGGGAGCAAACAGG